GCAAUGUGCAGCUGCGACAUCGAAAUCAAUGGUGCUUGUUGUUAAGGGCAGCUCCAGCGUACGUUUUUUCAGGGUGCCAAGGGAAUCUUUUGGACUGGCACCCUGGCUAAACGGUGGAGCGCAGGGUGCUAGCCCUAAAAGCUUAGACGAGGUGCUCGUUUUUGCACCCGGUUCCAACGUUAAAAUAUUAUUCUUCGACAGCGGCAAGAUCUUUAUUGCACAUGAUCGUUGGAAGAGUAGUAGCCGUUGCACAAGUCUGCUGAUGCUUCUACAAAUAGCAGCCAGCUAUAUCUCAACAUUUGACCUAGCCAUCUCAUACAGAAGAAAAAUUACAGAAAAAAACUAUCAUGGAUCAUACGCAUGGCUUCAAUCCUUCAAGCUCCUCACCUUCACAGCAGCCAAACACAAGCAACCAAUCCACCCAAAGGCCCUCACCAUCACAGUUUGCCACCAACUUUCCAUCUCAAUUCAGCCAACAAUUCCGGUCCCAAUUCCCUCCCAACUUUAACCCUUUCAAUCCUUACGGCUUCCCUCCAAAUUUCAACCCUUUCAAUCUAGGCAAUCCGUGUGAAGGCAGCUUCAGCCUUUCUCCCAAUGGAGGAAUGGUUGGAAGAGGAGCGGCAGUUGUUCGGUCUUCAUCGCUAGUUGAGUCCAUGCCUUUUGUUCUUGGUGCUGGCAGAUCAAGUCCAGCCUCCCCAAUGUCUGUAGCACCACAAAUCAAUGGAGACUUCAGCAAUCAAGAGUGGAGUGAUAAUAGUGAUGUUGAAGAAAAGAAAGGAGGGCGUAUGAAUUGGACUAAAGAAGAGAAUCUGAAGCUAAUCAGUUCAUGGCUACAGCAUUCCAAAGAUUCAGCCAAUGGGAAUUCACAGAAAGGUGAAAAUUUCUGGAAAAACAUAGUGGCAGAAUUCAAUAGCAAUGUUGCAGAAGAUCGAAGAAGAAAAGUUGCACAAUGCAAAACCCACUGGACAAAGACCAACAGGCUGGUAGUGCACUUCAACGGAUGUUGGAUUAGAAUGAUGAGACGUCGUGGCAGUGGAGAGUCUGAUGACCAAGUUAUGGCUAAUGCACAUGCAGUGUGCAAAGAGGAAUCAAAGAUUUGGGAGUCAAGAGAGGUGGUGUUUGGUUGGCACAAAUGUAACGUAAUCUGAUUACUGAAGGUAACGAAUUCCAUUACAUAUGUUUGGUUGUGGCGGUUUGUAAUCAAUUUACACUGUAAUCUAAUCCCUUACCUAAAUAACAUAUAUACAAGCUUGUUACCCCUCCUCCCCCACUGUAAUCAGAUACAACACCCACACCGUAAUCUGAUUACGUUACCAGAGUGCAACCAAACAAAGAGGGUAAUCACCCAUUCCACCACUAAAUACACUGUAAUCUGAUUCCCUUUACGUUUACGUUACCUUAGCGCGAACCAAACACUAUCUUAGUUUAAUUUGUAAUACUAUAAAAUAAUAUGUGUCCAUGUUUUAGCAUUUGGAACUUUUUUAGUUGUAAGUUUAUUUUUAUUAUGCCCAUGCACUAGCAGUGAGAAUUAAUGUAAAAUCUAUUACCUAUCCAGGGAGAAGCCAUCAGGAAUUUAUUCUCAAUCAUGUGUUUCACGAGAAAUCGCUUGGUUAAGCCUGAAACUUGCAUAUCUAUAUUAUGCUAUUCAUCACGAAAUUGACAAGCAGUUUGCUCCUUGCCUCCUGCGCUCCCUCAUGCCUGCUAGUCCUAGGCCAAUCAAUCAUCAACGGAAACAAAGAAAAAAAAGAUUAUCCACGGCAAGUGGUAUACGGGAUUCAGUGCCUACUGGACGGAGAUGCAGAUCCUCAUGCCGACGAAUCCAUUCAUCCUGCAGCGCCAAGACGGGUUGAGGGGGAGCGCAUCGCGGCCUCCGCGACGGCCUGUCGCUCUGCUCUGGCCGUCGAUCCGGUUUCGUCCCGAUCUGCUCAAACAGAUCAUCCCAAUCACCUGCGCCUCCUUCUACUCGCCCCAAUCAACUGCGCCUCCUUCUAAUGGCAAGGAGAAGCCCUUGCCUGGUAUCACGCAGUGGGGGAGAUGGCGAGGGAGAAGAUCGGCGAAUGGAUCGGAAGGGGAGGAGAGGAAGAACCCGCAUCGCCAUCCCCGCGGGAAGGAACGGACGGGUGGGGGAAGGCUUUCCGUGGAGACC
rnacentral:lncRNA from 1 species